AAUACAAACUUCUCCAUUAUAAAUUAUAGUUCACGUAUACCACCACAUAGUGUCACGUGGAUCAUCAUCCCUAAUUGACACAUUAUUUUUCAAACAUUUCCCUAUCUCUGCUUUAACCUAACCCCAAAUCUAAAAAUAAAGAAUGAACUAGGAAUCUACUCUAAUCACGUUCAGAAGUUUGAAAGCCAAAUAGAAACUUGGCUCAGUACUAUGCAGCAGCUGAUAAUAACUACAAUUGCUUUGGCUAAGUGAAAAGAAAGAAAAGAAAAUGCAGAACUGUGCGCUAGGCCUGAUGUAUUGGCAUUAAGUAGUUGAUCAGCGGCCUUCAGAACAAGUGAAGAGGAAUAUCCGAGGGAAGUGCCAUCUCCGAGACGUGCCUAUACUGUAUAAAGAAUCAAAAGGAGAGGGUUAAUCAUGAAAUUCAUAGUGAUUUGCCUUGUAAAACAAUGUGGGUGAUCACAAUUAGGACCCAGCGCAAAAUAGAAGAGAGGAACUAGACGGAUGUACCUUGGGCUUCUUGAACUUGUCUGUAACGCCUCGCAAGUCCCUUCCUUUUUUGC
rnacentral:lncRNA from 1 species